UCUAUGGUGGCUUAGUGGUUAGAGCGUCCGCCUCGGAAGAGGAAGGUCGUCGGUUCGAUCCCAGUCAAGCCAUAAAA